CCAAGCAUGGCAGACGAGGCAGUAACACGUAUGAACGUACCCAGAAGUCGGGCAUAUUCCGUCGAAAGACGGUGCAAUUCCCGAUGGCAUUCUGGAAGCUAGACACUGGACACUGGAAACUGGAAGUUCACCGAAAAAUCGCGAAGCGAUUUUUCGGCUCCAGCACUCCAGCUUCCGGUCUCUAGCAUCCAGAAUUAAAGAUUUAUCGCUUUUGGAGCGGCCUGCGUAAUAUCAGCUAGUUGGUGAGGUAAUGGCUCACCAAGGCUAUGACGUUUAGGGGACCUGAGAGGGUGACCCCCGCCGAUGAGACUGAGACACGGCUCAUACCCCUACGGGGGGCCGCAGCCGAGAAUAUUCGACAAUGGGCGAAAGCCUGAUCGAGCGAUACCGCGUGGUGGAUGAAGCGCUUCGGCGCGUAAACAUCUUUUAUGAGGGAGGAAUCCCCCACUUUUGUAGUGUUAGUUAUACUGACGACAUGUACUUCGUGUAUGUGCUCAAAUUGGCAAACGGAAAUCUUUAUGUCGGUUCAACCGGAAACUUAAGGAGACGUGUGCAAGAGCACAAGGAUGGGUUAAGCACAUACACGAAGAAACACCUGCCGUUGGAUCUGAGAUAUUGCGAAGUAUACAAGUCGAAGGAAGACGCGCUUGAACGGGAGAGAAAACUCAAGCAGCAUAAAUCGGCGCUUGGACACCUUCGCAAUAGAAUCAAGAGAAGUAUUAACUAGACUGUAAAAGUGGGGGAUGACGUUACCUCAUGAAUAAGGGGCUCCUAACUCUGUAAACAAAACAGUUAGGAGUAUCAAGCCCUGUAAAUUACCGAAAGUGCAGCGCUCGUGAGCAAUCGCGAGUGAGCAAACUUGGCUAUAUGCUGGAAAUCUCUUGUGGACCUGCGCCGACCUUUGUCGGAGCCCAAGAGACAAUCAGCAGGGAAGUCGUCUCGACGUUACGUCGGGGUUGACCCCUCAGAGACUACACGCCGAGCUCCAGUCGUAAGACUGGAUGAUGAUAUAGUCCGAUCCUCUUAGUGAUAGGAGCGACGCAUGAAUUAAGGCGUCAAAACAAAAUGGCCAGCAGGAGCGGUAAUACAGAGGCCCCGAGCAUUACCCGGAAUUACUGGGCGUAAAGAGUGCGUAGGUGGUCUGUUUAGUCGUCUGUUAAAACCCAGGGCUCAACUCUGGAAUCGCGGGCGAAACGGGCAGACUGGAGAGCGUGAGAGGUGCAUAGAACUCUAGGUGUAGGGGUGAAAUCCGUUGAUAUCUAGGGGAAUACCGAAAGCGAAGGCAGUGCACUGGCGCGUUUCUGACACUCAAGCACGAAAGCGUGGGUAGCGAACGGGAUCGAGUAUCUGGUCCCCUCCAAGAGCAAUCUUGGAGCGCA
rnacentral:ncRNA from 1 species